GAUGAAGAACGUAGCGAAAUGCGAUAAGUAAUGCGAAUUGCAGAAUUUCCGUGAGUCAUCGAAUCUUUGAACGCACAUUGCGCCCACUGGUAUUCCGGUGGGCAUGCCUGUUCGAGCGUCAUUAUCCUCCCUCAAACCCCGGGUUUGGUGUUGGACCCAAGUUGUGUGAACAACUGGUCUCAAAGACAAUGACGGCGUCCGUGGGACCCUCGGUGCAACGAGCUUUUAGGAGCACGCAUCGAGUUGAAAGGACCUUCCGGGCCGGUCUCCUUUACCAUUUUACAAGGUUGACCUCGGAUCAGGUAGGAAUACCCGCUGAACUUAAGCAUAUCAAUAAGCGGAGGA
rnacentral:misc_RNA from 1 species